UACGUAGGGUGCAAGCGUUAAUCGGAAUUACUGGGCGUAAAGCGUGCGCAGGCGGUGAUGUAAGACCGAUGUGAAAUCCCCGGGCUUAACCUGGGAACUGCAUUGGUGACUGCAUUGCUAGAGUAUGGCAGAGGGGGGGUGGAAUUCCACGCGUAGCAGUGAAAUGCGUAGAGAUGUGGAGGAACACCGAUGGCGAAGGCAGCCCCCCUGGGCCAAUACUGGACGCUCAUGCACGAAAGCGUGGG
rnacentral:rRNA from 1 species